rnacentral:ncRNA from 1 species
AAUAAGACAUUGAUCAGACUAGUAGUAUAUAAGCGCCUGAAAGAGAUUGGAAUUCACCGGCUGAAAAAUUCCAUUGGGGACAGCGUAUAUGAACCUGCCUGAGAGUAGUUAGUAAAAAGCUAACCGCAGUGGAACUGUGUUGACAACAAAAGCUGGGCAUAAAUAUGCCAAUUUAGGUGGUACCGCGGAAACUCAUUCCGUCCUGAGA